UACGAAGGGGGCUAGCGUUGUUCGGAAUUACUGGGCGUAAAGCGCGCGCAGGCGGUCUUCCAAGUCAGUGGUGAAAGCCUGGAGCUCAACUCCAGAACUGCCAUUGAAACUGUUAGACUUGAGUACGAGAGAGGUGAGUGGAAUUCCCAGUGUAGAGGUGAAAUUCGUAGAUAUUGGGAAGAACACCAGUGGCGAAGGCGGCCAACUGGUCCGGAACGUGACGCUGAGGUGCGAAAGCGUGGGGAGCAAACAGG
rnacentral:rRNA from 1 species